AGAUAACCCGUUUAGUGGAACCUUUGGAGUUGGUAUCCACCAUUUAUCGUUGCUUUUGCUACUUUCAUCGGCUGAAGUUUUUGAAACGAACCAUUUCAACUAUAUAAUCAGUUACAGAUAGCAACCAAUCGAUCUCUUUUUUCCAUCUGAUUUUCGUCUCUGUUGCCAUUGGCUCUAGCUUUCUCUGUUCCCCAAAUGCGGAUGCUGCAUAAUAGUGGACAUUCGAAAAGAUUACAAUCUAAAGACAGGUAAUGGUAUUUUAGUCUUUUAAAUAAUCAAAAGGGAGGAGGAAGAUGGAAUACAAGUUUAUGAAUUUCCAAAGUA